GACGAACGCUGGCGGCGUGCCUAAUACAUGCAAGUAGAACGCACAGUUUAUACCGUAGCUUGCUACACCAUAGACUGUGAGUUGCGAACGGGUGAGUAACGCGUAGGUAACCUGCCUGGUAGCGGGGGAUAACUAUUGGAAACGAUAGCUAAUACCGCAUAAUAUUAAUUAUUGCAUGAUAAUUGAUUGAAAGAUGCAACUGCAUCACUACCAGAUGGACCUGCGUUGUAUUAGCUAGUAGGUGAGGUAACGGCUCACCUAGGCGACGAUACAUAGCCGACCUGAGAGGGUGAUCGGCCACACUGGGACUGAGACACGGCCCAGACUCCUACGGGAGGCAGCAGUAGGGAAUCUUCGGCAAUGGACGAAAGUCUGACCGAGCAACGCCGCGUGAGUGAAGAAGGUCUUCGGAUCGUAAAGCUCUGUUGUAAGAGAAGAACGGGUGUGAGAGUGGAAAGUUCACACUGUGACGGUAUCUUACCAGAAAGGGACGGCUAACUACGUG
rnacentral:rRNA from 1 species